CAGCAACCCUAUAUUCCCUCUCGCUGGCUCUCCUAGUCCCUAGUCCUUGUGUAGAGGACAAGGGAUUCUGGAAAGACAGUAGAGGAACUGCAGUGACUCCUGGCCCAAACUGGUAUCUCCCUGAGUGGAGACCUCCAGAUGGUUCUUCAUGACAGAAGACAAUAAUUAGCUGUGAAACACAAUGUUUCUAGAAGCCGUGACUCAUGGAACAUGCUUCUCAUUCCCAUGGCUGCCUGUGGAUCAUUCAGAAAGAUGUCGGUGUUGGGUAAAUACUCCUUUCGUGGAGGUGCCUGUCUGUCGGGUCUCGUCAACAGCAAAGAAAAUGACAAGUUAAUGAAUUCAGGAUUGUGUCUGGCAGACGGUGUGUUCCAGUCCCAUGGGGACACAUCUGGCAACAGGUUAAAGCAAAACAAAACAUAACAAUGGAGUAAAAAUGCAGCACUCAGAAACUCAAUGUGAAAAGGGAAUUAAAUAAAUAUCUUAAAUGUAAAUGUCCCUAAAACCAAGAGCAAGUGAUGAAAGCAGAGGAAGGGGGACCAGAAAGGAGCAACUUCAAAGCAUUCACAAGGACAAUUUCAAAAAUAUUUUUUUUAAAACACUGCAAUAAGAGGUUUCAGAAUGAAAUCGGUCCAAAGAUGUAAAAAAAAAAAAAGUGUUUUUAGGAUCUUGGCCUCUAAGUGUUGUCGGUUGAAGGCAGCAGCAAGGAACUGUCUAUAGCAGAGCAUCUUCCCUACACUGCCAGAGCAGGGGCAGGCAAGCAUCUCUCUCCAAUGUCUCACUCUCUGUAAUGCCAAGGCCUGACAUUUAAAGAAAAUGGCUGGAAGAAAUAAUGGUAGAAUGGAUGGUUACACCCAAGAAGUGAAAGAAGGUUUGAAGCCACAACUAUCUCCACCAAGACCCCAUUAUUCCACUCUUCAAAAUCCUUUAGUGCUGAGGUCCUUAACCCCUGGACUGUAGACUGGUACCAGUCUGUGGCCUAUUAGGAACUGGGCCACACAGCAGGAGAUGGAGAAACUGAACCCCAAAGAGUUUAGGUCCUCACUAUUCAAAAUGUGGUCCAGGAACAGAAGCAGCAGCGGCAGCAUCACUUGGGAGCCUGUAAGACAUGAAGAAUGAUAGACUUUUCCCCAGGCUGAAUCAGCAUCAGCAGCGUGAAGAGAACAGGAUUUUAGUCUGUGUCUGAGAAAAUUAAAUAAAUGAUGGGAAAAGACCACAGAGAACUGAGAAGCCACUCAGGAAAGACCUCAUUCCAAGGAUAAAAGAGAUCCAGUUGCAUGAAUCAGGACCUUGAGAAUGCAAGGUGAAGGUGGCAGGGUUGUCAGCAGCACUGGCUUUGGCAGCCUCUAGAGCAGUGGAUAGCCCACAGUGGCCAUGGUGAUAUGUGUUGGGUCAACACCUGGGUGCGAACAUCACCUCACUUGGUUUUAGACACUGACACCAUCAACGCAGGCAUGGUAAACAAGUCUGGACACCACCAAAUGGACUGGCAUGCAGAGGAAACAUGUCUGCGGAACAUGGACAUGAAGAAGCUAACACGCAAGAAAAAAAAAGUUGAGGAGUAGAGAGAAGCCCCAGUUCUUCAGUCUCUGGUUCUUACUCCUCCUGGGUCCCACCCAGUGCAUUUUUUUUUUUUUAUUCCAAAUGGCUACUGCAAGGCAUCUCUAUAUGCUAUUAUUCCCCUCUAACUCUAAAAUUGUUUGUUUCUAUUUUCCAAACAAUGAGUCCUAACCAAAACAGAAGGCAUGGUAUUGUUCCAAAUACUGGAAGUAUGGCUGGUAAAACAGAGUUGAGACAACUUAUAACACAGUGAGAAAUUCAUAUCCUCAGGUAACAGACACUGGGUUUGAAUCCUGGCCCUUCAAACUGCAGGAGCCCAUGGAACGUGGGUCAUAUUACCCUCUUGAGCCUCAAUUUCCUGACCUGUAAAAUGGGUAUAAUUAAAAUAGUUACCCCAGAGGGUUUGGGUUAAGGAUUCAAUGAAACACUGUAUAAAAUGCUGAAAAAGCCCAUGGCACAUAAUGAGAAUUCAACGCGUCUUAUAACUGUUAUUGCUUAUCCUCUCAUGGAAAUAGCUUUUAAUGAGCUGUUAUCUUCAUAAUUGUCAAGGACAGGAUUUUUUGAUAAUGUGAUUAUUGUCUCUGUGUGUUUGUUCUGCUGUGCUUCGUUUUUGAGGUUUGUGACACUGAGGAGGAGUGGGCAGGCAGGUCUACUCUGGGCUCUGCUGGGAACUCUGGGCAGCCAAAAGGGACAGGUGCCAGGGGACGGGAGUGAAGAAGCAUAACAGGUGGAAAGGGAGUACAGAAAGAAGGUAGGGAAUGCAUCAGGACAGUCCUGGGGAAGAUGUCCUGGUGAGCUGAAUGUCCCUGAAAACCACCACGAUGCCCUUCUGGGGCAGGAGCCCCUUCCACACACCUACACUGAGGAGCCAGAUCACCACUUUCACUCCCUCCUCCAGCAUAAGUGUUCAUGAUCCUUGCACAUCCAUCCCUGCCUACUUCCCAAGGGCAAGAUGCGUAUGAAUUAUGCUAGCGUGAAAUCAGCUUCAUGGAAACACAGCCGGAGGCCCUUCUGCAGACAAGGAUCUCCAGAGGUAACGAAGAAGGCAACUAAAGCCAUAGGUUGCAGUUUCAAUGCUCACUGUCCCGACAGUGCAACUGCCUCAGGUCACGCCUUUUAAUGCCCAGACUUCUGCACUCCUGAUCAGUAAGAUUCAGUAACUCUCUACUUGCCUUGUCUCCAUGGGCUGUUUGGGAAGCAAAGCAAACACCGUUGAUAAAAAAAUACAAUCUUAUUUGUUUUGACUUUUUCUAAUAGCAAAAUGGACUGUUGAUAAAAUAUGUGUUUCCUUUUCAUCGGUCAUUUUCAGUGAGUU